AUAAUUCCUAUACCUUAUCAAUUCUACAAAAAUGAAACCAUCUUAUAAAAUAUUAAUCCAUACUUUAUUUAUUAUUUCCUGCAAAGACAAUACUUUUAACCUAAAGUAGUUAACCUUCAUACCUUUUGCAUCAUGGCUUUACAAUUAUACAGGAUACCCUCCACCCCGAAACCUGCUUAGAGCUGAUUUAACUUUGUGAAGAACUGCCCCAAAAAUGUGGAAAGAUUUUUGCUAAAAGUUAUCUCAGAGGCUACAUACCUCCCGCGACAGGUAAUAGCUGGCUCUGCCCAAAAUCCAUUUUAGUGGAUAUAGCUCUAUCAAAAUUAAAGCUAAAUAAAUAGAUAAAGGACAAGCUUUUUCUAAUAAACUAUUUUUUCUAAUCAACAAUUUUGUAGGCUUAGUAAUUGCCACCAAAAUAAUAUAUAAUAAUUAAUUUAUCCCUAACCAAUAAUUAAUCUAUACAAAUGUUAAAAUAAGGGCAAAUUUAGUUAAAACUACUUAACUGAUUUAUUAUGUAAAGAUUAAUAUUUACUUCAUAUUCCACAAACGACUAACAACAUUUUAUAAAGGAACUCGGCAAACACAAGCUCCGACUGUUUACCAAAAACAUAGCCUGUUGAAAAUAUAAUAACAGGUAUAUUCUGCCCAGUGAAGACUUAAACGGCCGCGGUACCCUGACCGUGCAAAGGUAGCAUAAUAGCUCGCCUCUUAAUUAGAGGCUGGAAUCAACGAACGCACGUGAGCCUAGCUGUCUCUAUAAAACACAAAUAACUUAACCUUCAGGUGAAAAGGCCUGAAUCCUACUAAAAGACAAGAAGACCCUAUCGAGCUUUAUUAUUCUUCAAUAAAACAAACUAUUAAUACACUUUUUUAAAUUGACUACUAAUUUAGUUGGGGCAACUGAGGAACAUCUAAAGCUUCCUCUUUAUUAUUCAAUAAACAGAGACCCAGAAAUUCUGAUCAAAGGAAAAAGCUACCGUAGGGAUAACAGGUUAAUUUUUCUCGAGAGUCCACAUUGACAGAAAAGUUUGACACCUCGAUGUUGGCUUAGGUUACCCCGCUAGUGCAGAAGCUAGUAAAGGUGGGUUUGUUCAUCCCAUAAAAACCUACAUGAGCUGAGUUCAGACCGGCGUAAGCCAGGUUAGCUUCUAUCUUUAGUUUUAAAAACCUUAUUUGUACGAAAGGACCAUACAGGUUAAAAUAUUUUUUUAUAUUUGAUCAAGUCUAAAAACUUAAUAAACCACUU
rnacentral:rRNA from 1 species